rnacentral:rRNA from 1 species
CAGUAGCCACGGGAAUACAGAGGGUGCGAGCGUUAAUCGGAAUUACUGGGCGUAAAGCGCACGUGGGCGGAUAUUUAAGUCAGGGGUGAAAUCCCGCAGCUCAACUGCGGAACUGCCUUUGAUACUGGGUAUCUUGAGUAUGGAAGAGGUUAGUGGAAUUGCGAGUGUAGAGGUGAAAUUCGUAGAUAUUCGCAGGAACACCAGUGGCGAAGGCGGCUAACUGGUCCAUAACUGACGCUGAGGUGCGAAAGCGUGGGGAGCAAACAGGAUUAGAUACCCCUGUAGUCCCUGUCUCUUAUAC